GAUGUAUUAGUCAGAACUGAUUAUAAAGUGAGAUAAGUGUAAAAGUGUGACAGUCUCCAUAUGUGGAUAAUGAGAAGUAAUGGUUUGAAGCUCUAAAUCUGAUUUGUAAUAUCUGGCUGAUAGUGUGAUAGCAUUGAAAAUUCGAUAAGAUUUAGCUGUUGGUAUAUAAGAAUGAUCAACACAGUUAAAUAUGUUUGGACCUGUUAUAUUUUGAAUGGACCAAUUUUGAGCUUCGCUGCUCAUGAUAAAGAUUAUAUAUCAAGGAUUGAUCAUUUACUUUAUGAUAAAAUAACAAAUCCAGUUCCAGGAGAAGGUGACCAGAUUUUAGAUUCUAUUUAUAUUUUCAAUCAAGCCCUAAAUGAAACUAUUCAGGAUUUUAUGAAUGACCAGACGGGCCAAGACAUAGUGGACAUGUUGGUGGAACAGCAAGGUCCAAUAUGUAUAAAACUAUAUCCAGACGAUCACCACCUCAGGGAUGUGUUCGAUUGGGGAAUUCAAGAACUGGGGGAACUGUAUUAUCUUCUUAAUGCCACAAAAAUGCUAUGGAGAGACUUUCGAUAUUUCCUGGUGACCAAAAUGGGUUAUCAGAUAGAGCCCCUACCACGAUUUUUCACUACAACUGCUAAUUACACUGCCACUUAAAUAUUAUAUUUAUUUGUUUUUAAAAUGAUAAUUUUAUUCAAUCCAUUCAUCUUUUUAAUGGAUACAAUAGGAGUCUUCCCUAUUUGAAUAGUCCAAUAAUAUGAAAAGGAACACUCCUUGGUUCGUUAAUUUAUUUAUUACAUUAGCUUACAGAUCAACAAGUAAAUACAUAAUUAUUCACCAUCCAUUCCCGUAGAAUAAAGCAAGUGAAACUGAAGAUACAUUUUUUGUCCUAGAUGGUUGAGAUAUUUCUGGUGUUUGAUGUCAAAGAUAAGUCCCAAGAACUUCAAAUACCUAGUAUUUCACUUGUACAGAAUACAGAAUGCUUUAUUUACUUGAUUAUGGAAAACAGAAUGGUGUCAAAAAAGAAUAAAAUAUGUUUUGUGAUUUUUACAAUAAACUCAUUUUCUCUGAGAA
rnacentral:misc_RNA from 1 species